CCCUGCCCCUUUCUCUGUGUCUUUGAUGUUUCUUUCUUUUGCUACAUGUUUGUGUGUGUUUUGAUUUAUAAUUUUAUAGUUGAAACUUUGUGAUAUAUGUUUGAAAUUGGCUGGGACAUCUAAAUUACAUUCUUCAGUUGCAGCAGCUAAAGAUACUUUCUCUUGGAGCUUGUUCAGGGCUUGGUGUGCUUAGAAAGAAGGUGGAAGUGGGACAUCUAAAUGACUAUUUUGGCCGCAUUAUAUUUCCGGUAGAUACGAUUCUUGAGUGGUUCAACCACUGUAAGGAGGCUUCAAAUAAUACUGAAUUAUGUGAAAUAGAUAUUGAUGGGAGUGAUCUAUAGUUGGAUGAGAUCAGAGGAAUAGCUCUGUGUGCUAUUAUCAAAGCAAAUUUUGAAAGCUCUGCAUUCGAUCUCUUUCAUUUCCUAGUGUUGAGAUCACUAUUAAAUUAUUAAUGGCAUGCCAAAUAUUACAACGAGAAAAUGCUUGACACGGGGAUUUCAGGAAUCUGGAGAUCAUGUUGGUCGAAGUACUUUGCACUAGAUUAGCUUUUUAAGCCAAACGGGAAUAUUGCUCGUCAUAUAUAUCACCAUUUGCUCAGAAACACACAGCUUGAUCUUGGCCAUUUUCACUUGAGGAUGGUGAAAGCUAAUUAGUCUGGACAGGUGGCACGACCUUCUUGCAUGGAAAUUCUGUUAUGGGAGACGUAGUGUCUGAUGAAUAUUGCGCAUAGUGUUCUAGUGCAGGAACAUGAUCUCGAAGAUAUUGUUCUAAUCACAGAUCAGGGAGUUUCAACUCCAAGAUCUACAAAUUGCCUUCAAGCAACAUGUACCAUAACCAAUAGAGGGUUGAUCCUACGGGACUUUGAUUCAUUCACUUUGAGCAUUUUAUUUCAGCAUGCUUUUGGGUCUAAA